GUAAGGUGAUAUGAACCGUUAUAACCGGCGAUACCCGAAUGGGGAAACCCAGUGUGACUCGUCACACUAUCAUUAACUGAAUCCAUAGGUUAAUGAGGCGAACCGGGGGAACUGAAACAUCUAAGUACCCCGAGGAAAAGAAAUCAACCGAGAUUCCCCCAGUAGCGGCGAGCGAACGGGGAGGAGCCCAGAGCCUGAAUCAGCAUGUGUGUUAGUGGAAGCGUCUGGAAAGGCGCGCGAUACAGGGUGACA
rnacentral:rRNA from 1 species